rnacentral:tRNA from 1 species
GCGCCCAUAGCUCAAUUGGACAGAGUGUUUGAUUAUGGCUCAAGAGGUUGCAAUUUCAACUCCUGUAUUUCCUGCCA